UCAGCCGUAAACCAAGACAGAUAAACUACACACUGUCCGCCAGAGAACUACCAGCGAAAAGCUAAAAACUCAAAGGACUUGACGGUGUCCCACAUCAACCUAGAGGAGCCUGUCCUAUAACCGAUAACCCACGAUUCACCCCCCCUGUUUUAGCCAACCAACCUAUAUACCGCCGUCCUCAGCUCACCUAAUGAUAGACACCCAGCAAGUAUAAUUGGGCCCAAACCCCCAACACGUCAGGUCAAGGUGUAGUUAAUAAACAGGCAGAGAUGAGCUACAUUUUCUUAUACCAAGAAAAAACCGAAAGCGCUAUGAAAACCCGCCAAAAAGAUGGAUUUAGCAGUAAGCCUGAAAUAGAUAAGCCAGACUGAAGUCUGCUCUGGGACA
rnacentral:rRNA from 1 species